rnacentral:rRNA from 1 species
GACGAACGCUGGCGGCGUGCUUAACACAUGCAAGUCGAACGGAAAGGCCCUGCUUUUGUGGGGUGCUCGAGUGGCGAACGGGUGAGUAACACGUGAGUAACCUGCCCUCGACUUUGGGAUAACUUCAGGAAACUGUGGCUAAUACCGGAUAGGAGCUCCUGCGGCAUGGUGGGGGCUGGCAAGUUUCGGCGGUUGGGGAUGGACUCGCGGCUUAUCAGCUUGUUGGUGGGGUAGUGGCUUACCAAGGCUUUGACGGGUAGCCGGCCUGAGAGGGUGACCGGCCACCACGGGGGUGAGAUGCGGCCCAGAAUACUACGGGAGGCAGCAGUGGGGAAUAUUGCACAAUGGGCGGAAGCCUGAUGCCGCAACGCCGCGGGGGGGAUGACGGCCUUCGGGUUGUAGACCGCUUUCGCCUGUGACGAAGCGUGAGUGACGGUAAUGGGUAAAGAAGCACCGGCUAACUACGUG